rnacentral:tRNA from 2 species
CGUGCUCCGUGGCGAGGUUCACGUUGGCGUCGAUGACGCCGGGCACCUUCUUGAGCGUGCGUUCGACCGUGCGAACACAGCCGGCGCAUGUC